UGAAACCUACAUGUUAUUUGUAAGCUUAAUUUCCUAUUAGCAUCGAUCUCUUGGGACCUUCUUCUAACUGCAGACGUAAUGACACAAUCUUUCCAUGUUUCUAUUCCCGCACCACACUAAGCAAAAUGAUAACACAUUGAUUUGCUUAAGUAGGCGAUCGACAAUGACGAUCACUCAGGCGUGUAUAUUUUUUGAUUAUCUAAAUAUAUAUCUCAAUAUGAUUGUUCUGAAAGUUGUCACUAGUGUUUUUCACGAAUAUUGUUUGAGCCCAGUGGGUAUUUUUGGUCCAAGACUCGGGGUACAUUUUGGAUAACAUUUGGGCCAAUACCUGUGGCCCUUUUUUAAUGCGAAGCCCACGAAGGAUGACGAAGCCUGGCUUCACGCGAGCUGGAGUUUUGCAAGGAUUCCGAUACCCCGCGGGAUUCGGUGUCCUCGCGGGAUUCUUUGUUCCAGUUCGUAUAGGAUUCCACAGUGCAUGGCGAGGUAGAGUUGGAAAUGGAUUGUAGUACUCCGCGGGAUAGGGUCGCUUAGUGUUCAGGUUCGCGUACGACGCUACAGUGAGAUGAUGCGGGGCGGUGAGCGAGACCUAGGCGAGGUCUGUUCUGGACACGUGUUGCACGGAUCGCGCGGCUCGCGAGCUGGUCGUAUCCUUGUGGAAUUCUAAUUGCUGAGUCCGGAUGAGUUGUGACUAGGUCUUUACGGAUUGUUUGCGGGUCGCUAUAUAAGGGAGCUUGACACAACAACAAAAGGGACACAAUCAAUCAUACAAAAACAAGUACAAAUCCUCGAGCAUCCUCGAAACCCUAAGUUCUAAGUGCACUUCGCCUUAGUUCUCAGACUCCCUCCCGAUUCGCCUCCUUUCCCUAGUUGUUGCUCUGCUCACCCUAGCAGUGAGUAUCGAUUCACAAGUGACAAGAAUUUUUACUCGUAAUCCCUCGUCCGCGAGGUGGCACCGGUAACCCCCUCUUCGCUUGUUUAGAAGUCUAGCCGCAGCGCAUUCCUUUCCUCGCCCGCGAGGUGGCACGCCCCGCAAAUCUCCUUUUCUUUACUUUUGAGUCACCGGAGUUUCGACUCUGCCCCUGCUGAGACGCGUGGCCAAAACAUUGGCACGCCCAGUGGGACCGGGAGUAUAACAUUCUCGUCAUCAUUGGGAAAUCAGGCGGAUCCCCAUACGGGAGACCCUCGGUUUCUUGUUUAAAACAUAAAUCUUCACAAUACAAGCCCCAUAACAGCGCGGCUUGUCGAUCUCUCACCCAAGAAGAAGUUCUCGCUCGGUUUGGCACACCCGACCAUAGCGGAACCAUAAUGACAGGUUUACGAACAACCCAGGACGCAGGACCUACUCUGCCAGCGGACGAAGUCCGCUAGAUGUUUGGGGAACUGAAGAAUAAUCUCGACUCACUUAGCUCGAAAGUCGACACCACCCAGCAAAGCGUCAAAGACCUCUCUGAACAGGUCAUUAAGGACAGAACUAUCUGGCUCGCUAACCAAGAAAACCUUUUUAGGCUCAGCGAGGAGUUUAAUUACGUUGCUGGUCAAGUCAGGGAAGACAAAGACUUGGUGGAAGGUUCCCUUCAGAGGAUCCAGAAAGAAUUGGAUCAGAGCAAGGUGACUUUCACCAAAACCCUGCAGCUUACCCGCGCAACCGUGGAUGAGCAGACCUGUCGCUUGGACGAACACGACACCAAGCUACAGCAACAGCAGGACGCUUCUUUCUUUGGAAGCAAGAACAGCAUGGAAAAGCUUGAGGACUACAAAGAGCGACAUGAUAAUCUGAGCAUAAGGGUCCUGCAAGUGGAAGACUAGAUACGGGCUCAGACACCAAAAAAUCAUGCCUUGAACUUAGCUAGUUCAAGUGCAACUGAGGGCUCAAGGUACAUUCCACCUAAUGAACGCCCUAGAGGAAAUCCAAAGGUCGGGGCCUAGAAGACUCCCAAUUCACAUUGGGGGCCAGUUCGUCAAAGACGCCACCCCUUCUGCCCAUGCCAGGUAGCCCUGGAGUCACACUCAGGGGCGCCGGUGUCUUCCCAUCUCAAGGGAUCGGGACACCAGAUGACCCGGUUAUAGCUUAUUCCAGUUCGACCCCUAAGAACGUCGUGCAGGCCCCUAGCCUCUCUGCAUGGCACGGCCACGAUCAGGGGGCAGAAUCCACACCAGUAACGGUAGCCGACUGGCGCCAGCUCAUCUCGAGCAUAGUCAAGGAGCAAACCGGAAAAGGUGAUGCUAGCUUGCAUUAUCGUGACCCCUAUCCAGAUAGCGUGGCGCAAUAUCCUUUCCCUCAUGGAUUUAAGAAUAUUGUCUUCACCACUUUCUCCGGAGAGACAAGGGAAGAUGCAGCAACACAUAUGGCUCGUUUCAAAGUCCAAUGCGGCCAAUACGGGAAUGAUGAUAUGCUCAAACUCAAGCUUUUUAGGACGUCUCUAUCCGGAGCUACUUUUACCUGGUACUCCAGAUUGAAGCCUGGGUCAAUAGCUGACUGGCCCACUAUCGAGAGACUUUUCCGAGAGACAUACGACACAAUUGAACCUGAAGUCGGCCUCGAUUCCCUCACACAGAUGAGCCAGCAAAGCAUGGAGUCUGGAGUUUCUUUCCUCCAGCGUUUCAAGAUCUAGCAAGCCAAAUGUGAUUACCUGCUACCUGAGCAGGAAGCCAUUAAGUUGGCUAUCAGAGGCCUGGAGCACCGCCAGCGGUUAAAGCAUCACGGAGAGCGCUUUACUUCCAUGGGCAACCUGAUUAACAAGGUCGGUAGCUACGAGCUAAUCUUGAACGAGUUGGAUGACAAAGCAAAUGCCUCCAAAGGAACUUACAUACUAGGGAAGAAUCGGACAGUGGGGACAUUAAGCCUACAGGCCCCUACUUAUGAUUCCUAUUAUCAAAGGUCUGAGGAAACUCGCCCGGAUCAGGAACAUGAAGAUAUUGGCGCGGUAGAACUAACUGGCAAGCUAUUGGCUCACAAAUUGAAAAACCUAAAGAUAACGCGCGAGCCAAUCACCAUCCAGUCCUUUGCAUGGACCAAGCCAGAGUACGACUCAUACACCUAUGAUGCUAAGAACGCCCAUCUGGUCUUUAAUGACCUCAUCGAGGCAAGAUACGUGCGCUUGGAUCACAAGAUACCGCCCAAGGAAGAGCUGAAGGACAAGAAGUACUGCGCCUUCCACAAUGUGUACAAUCAUGACACCAAAGAUUUUGUCAAGCUUCGAGACUAGCUGCAGACAUGGCUGAACUCAGGCGAGCUAAAGAUGAAAACACCGGGUAGUACGGCCUCAUUGGUUGAUAUAGACCCUUUCUCGCCUGUAGUUGGCAUGGUCGAGGUAAACUGGGCCGAUCAGACCGAGGACGAAGAUCGACGCCGGGCACCUAAAAGGGGCCGCGAGGAAGGUGACGAUGGAGCCCGCCGGCCACGUCGCCAAUACACCUACAACGAAGAGCUUGCACAUGAGGUUCUAGAUGAUCUCAUUGAUGACGGGCUCGUCACAGUGGCCAAUUCCUUGCCAUACAUAGAAUAUAAGGAGGGGCGCAUUCACUGCAAGUUUCAUAAUAGCUGGGGGCACAGAACCUGCGAAUGCCAGCAACUCAGAGACCAGGUUCAAGACUGGCUCGACCUCAGGUAUAUUCACUUUAAGAAUAAGGGCGACUUCAUGAUCGCGACGGCUGACUUCGCUUGGCCUCGAGUCGGCCAACGAAGAAUCACAUUAGACUUGUCGCCAAAUGCAGGUUUACAUGAACCGCCGGGCCGAAAUCGCAAAUGACCGGCGAAUAACUAUACUGUCCCGAAUAACCAGCAGGGGAAAGCAGACGACUCAGCUCGACAGUUGAUCGCUAAGCUCGAAACAGACCGCCCAUCCCGCAAAGAUAAGGGCAAAGCAGUCAUGAGGGACGAUGGACCGUUCCUCGUUGAAGAUCCCCAGCCUAUGAGUCCCAGGACUCGAGAAGAGCUGGAAAGGAGGAUAGAACGUCUCGAGACGUUCGUCUAUAUACGUUGGGCAGAGGUAGUACCUUCAUCCCCUGCCACAAGUGAGAUGGACAUGUCAGACUCCAGCGGUGAGCGUCACAACAACGAGGCCUCGAGCCCUCCUAAAGGCGUCCUAACCGACCCCUAUAUUCCCCCGACAUCCAAAUCAGCGAUCAAGGAUGGGGUCUGGUACACACAGCAAGGGGGCAAGGCAGUUACCAUCAGCAUGUCUAAGAAGCGAAAGCUCUAAAAGCGAUACAGUAUUAUCCUACGUGCCUUACGGGCUGUCGAAGAGGGCGUUGUACGCCCCUCACAGCUCGCACAGACGCCUGAGCGGAUGUGGAGGGAAGUAGAGGGUUUGCGCGCAUUCCUUAUAAAUGCCGCCUGUCACACCCCCAAGGAUUUGCGAGCAGUUCAGCGACGAGCCUGCACCCAAACCAAACGUCUUUUGCCGACUCACUGUUCCACCAAAGCAGGAUCCACAACCUUCCAGGCGUAGGCCAUCACCAGAACCUGAAAGAAGAAGGGAUCCACAGCCUUCCAGGCGCAGGCCAUCACCAGAGCCUGAAAAGAGAAGGGAUCAACAAGCUCUCAGGCACAGGCCGUCACCGAAACCCGAGCGGAGAAAGGCUCCGCCUACCGGUCCUAGGCGUAAGUUGUUCACGACCCCGGACCCAGAGUCCAAACGCGAACCGUCUCAGCCCUCACGGCAACGGGAACGUCAAAAUCUGGAGGCCAAUAUCAGAAGGGAGUCACCACCACCACACCAGCCUUGGGCACGGUCUACCCCAGAGCCCGAGACUCGGAUGGUUCCCCGAGUAUCCUCCCUACAAUGGUUGAAAAAAGAAGACAACGAUAAGGCUCCUCUAGCAACAGACAAACAACCAGCUAAGGACCAUCAGCCUUCAACCAAGUCAGUAUGGCGUCUGCGGCAGCCCGAGGCUCAAGAGCCACCAAUAGCCGCACAGGCGCCCUCCAGUCCUAACCUCGCCCAACAAAUGGCCCAGCGUUUCCGCGAGAAUUCAGAAGACGACGAGGCACAUUCAGAACCUCGAUUUAACCUAGAGGAAGACUGGGACGAAGAGCAGGCAGAAUCAUUCACCUGUAAUAUGAUAGAGGUCUCAGGAUGGGAUGCUGAUGAAGGGUUUAGCAGCGAAACAGACGCUUUCGCGGUGCUCGAAGGGGAACACGGGAUCAUUGACACUCCCCUGGUCCCAGUUCCUGAACAAUUCUCCUUUCAAGUCGAGAUGGUGUUCUUCAUUUCGGAAAGAUACGCGCUCCCACCAAACACAACCUGCAGUGCGGCGGAUAUUCCCGUCAGCAACGAGGAUGUCAGUGGCAUACCCCCGCCAUGCAGCAGCGAAAUGGGCCCAGUUCCGGCACAGGCCGACGACGCCCCACAGGUGGAAAUUACGAGCAGCAUCAAACAUAAGCAAACUCUAACCUUUUCCACACCAACUUUGGACAUGGCCACUCACAUGCGGCCACUGUAUAUCACGGCCGAAGUCGAGGGAAAAAUGAUCAACAAGAUCAUGGUCGACACCGGUGCCGCGGUCAAUGUUGUCACAACCCGUACCAUGAGACUCCUAGACAUCCCGCGCUCGAUGAUCCAAACCACGUCCUUAACAGUCAAGAACUUCACCGGGCAAGUGUCCAGAACCCUAGGCUUGCUAUUCCUACGGGUCAAGGUCGGGCCGGCAUCACGGGUUUACACCUUUUUCGUCGCCGAAUGCGCUUCCUCUUACAGCAUGAUUCUUGGCCGAGAUUGGAUCCACAGAAGUUUUUGCGUGCCUUCCUCCAUGCACCAAGAACUCAUGAUUUGGGACGCCGAGAACCGUGAAGCAGUCAUCAUCAAAGCCGACCCGCGGCCAUUCUCUAUCUCUGCCAACUUCAACGAUGCCCGAUAUUAUACUACAGACUUGGGUCCGUUGGAUGUUCAAGGCGUCGAUAACAAGGGCCGCCCAUAUUGAAUAACGGCCUCCAAUCUCACGCGAUGGGGACUUACCCAGGCGAAGGACUAUUUGCAACGUCCUCACACCAUCGCGAAUCACACACCCCGUUCUGAUGAAUAGUGCCUUCUCAGAGGAGGCACGUGAGGCUGGCGAGUCCCUGUGCGAAAGACUCCUUUCGUACUGGACAGAACGCGAAACCUACGACAAGGUCGCGACUAUGGAAUAUGUAGAUGAAGUGGUGGAUUAUUCCGAUACCAAGGAGGAAAUUAUUCACUUAGCUCCCGCCGCCUUGGACGACACACCACCUCAAGUCCGCGACCCCAUUUCACAAGUUGACGUAGGGACUGCAGAAAAGCCCUUACUUAUUCCUAUCAGUGCUAAGUUGGCGGAGGACGAAAAAGAAACCCUUAUUAUCCUGUUAUGCGAGUACAGGGAUUGCUUCGCCGACAAAUACGAAGACAUGCCCGGCUUGUCCCCGGACUUGGUCUGCCACCGGUUACCAACUUAUCCCAACCGACGUCCAGUACGGCAGGACGGCCGAUUCAUGCGAACUGAGACUCAGAUCGUAGUCAAGGAAGAGAUCGAAAGCAUGCACCGAUCGGGCAUCAUUCGCGUGGCAAAGUAUAACGAGUGGCUGUCCAAUGUUGUCCCCGUCCGCAAGAAAAAUGGCAAGAUGCGCGUCUGUGUUGAUUACCGCGACCUAAACAACGCAACACCGAAGGAUAUAUACCUCAUGCCUGUGGCUGACCUACUCAUUGAUGCCGCCGCGGGGCACGAGGUGUUAUCCUUUAUGGAUGGAACGGCCGGAUACCAUCAGAUUCCCGUCGCUGAGGAAGAUCGACACAAGACCGCUUUCCGCUGCCCUGGUUUUGCCGGCGGGUUCGAGUACGUGGUCAUGCCUUUCGGACUCAAAAACGCGGGGGCAACAUACCAGCGCGCCAUGAACCUCAUUUUUCAUGACAUCUUGGGGAAGUUGAUCGAAGUAUACAUCGACGAUGUGGUAGUCAAAACCAAAACACGGGCAACCCACGUUGAAGACCUGCGGCAGGUGUUUACACGGAUGCGCCGACAUAACCUGAAGAUGAACCCCUCUAAGUGUGUUUUCUUUCCGGAGGCCGGCGAUUUCCUUGGUUUCCUAAUGCAUCAAAGAGGCAUCGAAAUCCCAAAGGACAAGGCACAGGCGGUAAUCACCGCUUCAAACCCCAACACAAAGAAGGAGCUUCAACAGCUGCUUGGGCGAAUCAACUUUCUCCGCCGUUUCAUAUCCAACGCGGCAGGGAAGGUCCAGCCUUUUUCACCCCUCCUCAAGCUCCAGGGGGCAACCGAGUUCGUCUGGGAACCACAACAUCAACAGGCCUUCGAUCGCAUCAAGGACUACCUUACGAACCCACCAGUCCUGAUCCCACCUCGCGACGGUACCCCGCUUAAACUUUAUAUCGUCGCUGCCGACUUGUCCAUCGGCGGACUCCUGGCCCAAGAGGAUGUGAACGGGGUAGAACACGCUAUCUACUACCUUAGUAGGGUGUUAACAGAGUGUGAGACACGAUACUCACCUAUGGAGAAGUUGUGUCUUGCCCUAUAUUUUGCAGGGUGCAAGCUGCGCCAUUACAUGCUUGUCUUUACCAUGGUUGUGAUCGCUCAAUCCGACCUGGUCAAAUACAUGCUCUCUCGCCCUAUCUUGCGGGGACGCAUCGGCAAGUGGAUCUUAGCCAUGUCCGAAUUCUCGUUGCAAUAUGUUCCGCAAAAGGCAGUAAAAGGACAGGCAAUAGCAGACUUUCUCGCUCAUCACCCACCCUCAGAGCUCACGGCGUUUCGCGAGUUGGAAUUCGCUACCGUGACACUCGCUCCAUGGACCCUGUACUUUGAUGGUUCGUGCACUGACACCGCAGCCUGAGCUGGGAUAGCCAUAGCCAAUCCCGUCGGAGAUCGCUUCUCAUAUUCGUUCCAGCUCGAUUUCAAAAGCACCAACAACCAGGCUGAGUACGAGGCGCUGAUCAUCGGCCUGGAGAUUUUGUUGGAUUUAGGAGUCCGCGAGGAUCAGAUCUUUGGCGAUUCUUUGUUGGUCGUUAACCAGCUGGUGGAAAAGUUUAAGUGCUUAAGCUCGACAAUUGAGCCAUACCUGCGCAAGGCAUUUGAGGUGUUGGAUCGAUUUACCGACGUCUACAUCGAACACAUACCACGCGAGUCCAAUUUCGCCGCCAACGAGCUCGCCCAAGUAGCGUCCGGUCUCAGCCUGCGCGACGGCAUUUGAGGUGUUGGAUCGAUUUCCGCUGCGUGUAUGGGAACGAAGCUAAACGUAUCAUGCGCGAAGUCCAUUGUGGGGUUUGCGGCUCGCACCAGGCCGGGCCAAAAAUGCGAUGGUUGAUCCGUCGCCAUGGGUACUACUGGCCAACCAUUCUGAAAGACUGUAUUGCCUUCGCCAGAGGGUGCCAAGACUGCUAGGCUCACGGACCAGUGCAACACAUUCCCAACAUCCCGUUACAGCCUAUCAUUAAACCUUGGCCGGGUCGCGGUUGGGCGAUAGAUUUCGUUGACAUCAUUCAUCCCCAUUUUUCUGAGCAGCAUAAGUUCAUUAUCGUCGCCACCGAUUUCUUUACCAAAUGGGUCGAGGCCGAACCACUCAAGGUUGCCUCCGCCAACUCGGUUCGCAACUUUAUUUUCCGCAAUAUCAUCUCCCGCUUUGGUAUCCCGGAGUGCAUCGUUACGGACAGGGGGGCAGCUUUCAUGGCUGAUUCAGUUGUUAAGUACUUAAACGACUACGGAAUCAAGCUUCUCCACUCUACGCCAUAUUAUGCACAGUCCAACAGCCAGGCGAAGGCUAGUAAUAAGGUCAUCCUUGGCAUCCUCCGCAAGAUGUUGGAGUUGAACCCGCGUGUCUGGCAUGAGGAACUCUACCACACCUUGUGGGCUUACCGCACUUCAAAGCGCGGCCCGACGGAUACCACCCCGUACGCUCUCAUGUACGGUCAUGAUGCCGUCCUUCCCCUUGAGAUCAAUAUCGCUUCACUCCGCGUUCAGGAACAGCAUCAACUACUUGGUGAGGAUUACGUCCAAGCCAUGUGGCAGGAGCUUGAAGAUCUUGACGAGCACCGUGUCACCGCUUUCAACAAUCUUGUCCUCGAGAAACAACGCAUCGCACGUUCGUAUGAUAAGGUCACGCGCAGACGGAGCUAUGCUGAGGGCCAGAAAGUGUGGCGCGCGGUACUCCCACUUGGGGACAAAACCGACGGUCGGGGCAAGUAGUCCGCUCGAUGGGAAGACUCCUUUAUUAUUCAUCGUAUACUUCCCAAGGGGGCAUACCACCUGCGCGACUUGGACGGUACCAUUCAUCGCAAUCCUAUUAAUGGCCGCUUCCUCAAGCGCCACAUUGCAGGAGUUUGGGAACGCGAGGAUCCUCCACCUCCCCCAGGCCCCGUCGCCACUGUCAAUAGUGCUACGCGCCAUCGCGUUCUCGCUCCGCCGCCUAACACUAGGGGGCAACCCGGGAUAGAAGCCUGAUAGAGUACGUUUUAACAUACCAGCCUAAAAAGGCCAGUAUAAGAUUGGGGCCUAUUCCAGAGGCCCUAAAUAAAGAUAACUCUAUUUUUCUUCAUUUUCUGUAAACGUGCAAAGUCUAAACGCAAAGGCCAGUACAAGAUUGGGGCCUAUUCUAGAGGCCCUAAAAAAACAAUAAAUUUAUUUAUUUUGCCUUUCUGGCGUUGUUUCAAUACAAGUUUCGAACAUCGGCUUUGCGGCCGAAGCAACUACAUUUGACAGAAAGGGUAAAAUUAGACUAUGUUUACAAACAAAGGCAUAAAUCUGCAGAUAUUGGAAGCCUCAACCCGCAUAUCUUGUAGGGUUGAAGAAGAGACUGCCGCCGCACCCUUCGUUUAAAGUUGGCAAACGUCCCGCUUCUUUAGACCAGCACGAGCCUUGACACCGGCCCGGACCUAAGACAAAUUGUUGGGAAGCUAGAGGUCCACUAGACCAGGGUCCCUCAUGCUACCGGUCAUGCCUGGAAGGUGCUUGAAAGGCACUGACUAGAACCUGAAGCGCAAGCGGAUGCGGAGCCUCGAGAGCCUCACGUUUGGACAGAACAGCCGGUGCAAGGCAGAAGGUACCCAACCAUUAGUUUGUCCAAACAAAGGCUUGACCUGAGAGUAGAUUUUCAGAAUCACUCCCGGCCUGAGAGUAGAUUUUCAGAAUCAGAAAGAACGAAGAGUGAAAAUGUGAGGUGGGGGCUUUGCUUUAAGCAGGGACAAGAGGAUGUACAGAAGGGUAUAAGAGCCCAUGGCAAGGGGGCAAAGACUUAACUGGUACUUCGCCCCGGCCAAGCGUUUCUUUUUAUAGGCGAAAAUGGUGGUUUUCCUUUCAACAGAUGUCCUCCAUGCAGCGAUUUGCUCCGAGAUAUGAGCUUUGGAGAUAAGGUCAGACGCGUUGUUCCAUAAUGACUACCCGCGUUCCGAGCGAGUAGUUGCAUUGGAAACCCCCACCAAAUCUUGGAAGAAGAUUUUUUCCUGGGAAGACAGUUCUUACAUAAGAGUUGACAAGAGUGGGAAAGAUUUGAUUUAAUAAUAAUAUUAUAAAGGUUCAUACAAAGGGGGCAAAGCGCUGAUCGGGCCUAAACCCGCCUAGAAACCCUAUACAAAUCUAUGAGAAGGCAUUCUAAGGCCAACUCUUCAACAUCUGCCUAGGCUUGGGCUUCGUCGGCAGCAGCAGCAGCCGAGUCCAAAGCUUCCUGGGUCUCUUCCGCGGCCUGCACACGGGUUUCUGCCUCUUCAGCUCGGGCCAAGUUCUGGCGAGCUUGAGCAAGCUGAGCUUGCAGCUCCGCUAUCUGAACCUCUAGGGCCUCCACUUGCCGAGCAUAGACAGCGCAUGGGUUCUCUGACGAUGCCUCAGGGAUUUCAGCGUCAUCAAGCUCGACUAAAAGGGCUGCCAUCUAAUCGUCUAAGGCUUGGCGGACUUUCUCGUGAGCAGCCGACUGGGCACCGACAUCUUGAACUCGGCGAGCCUGCAGCUCGACAGCGUCGGUAAGUUCCAACACAUGGUCUAGAGCAGGAUUGCUCCCAGCGAGGUGCCGAAUCAGAGCUUCAUGGGCCUCGCGGGCGCGCCUCACCAAGUCGAACACGUUCAUGUGGGGACCUUGGCGCAGUAGCCCGUGAAAGAAAGCCCGGGCUAGGCGAAUGGGCUCUGGAUCGGCAGGCGGGGUAAUUCGGGCCCGAAGACGAGCGGUCCGGGUAGCCAAAGAAGAAGCCGCCUCGCCAGAUGUUCUCGUUGGGGCCGGAGUGGUUGGUUCAAUCUCUGCAACUGCCUCAAUCUCUAGAACGGGCGGUGGGACCUCAGACCGAGUAGGGACUGUCGGUUCUUCGGUGGUCUGGGACGUUGAGUCUGGUUGCAAAGGAGAGGGCUCAAGCACCGGUUGAAGGUCCUUUGGCGGAACCGCCGAGGAGGCAGCAAAAUCAGAAAGCCGGGUGGUCUGGCCAAGAUCUUCAUCUUGAGCAGGAGCCGAGAUAGGCUCCGGAGGCGGGCCAGUUUCGCCUAGAGCGUCGGUUGGAGAAGAGGGUCGCACGGCGACUUCCUCAGUAACCAUGGUUUGAUCUCCGACGAUUGGUUCUGGGGUUGGGACUUCAACUAUUGCUGUUGCUCCUUCAAUGACAGCGAGGCGAGGUCGGAUGCUGCGGCGAACCUGUCAAAUACAAAGUUAGCAAAUCGUUUGUUGGCUUUAAUGAGUUUGGUUCGAAGAAAGGUCGCUUACCAAAGCGUGCUCUUGCCGAUAUCGUUCAUCCUCUAGCAGCUCUUCUUCGUCUUCGACAGGGCGCUUCCGCGAGCCUUCGCCGCUUGUUGGCGGGGGAAUAACGGGAGCAGUCUCAUCGUCAUGGUCCGCCGCGGGCUCCUCUUGAGCAGGUGCUUUCCCUUUGUCUCCGGCACCCCCAGGUCUUCUGACCGAUCUCCGGCGGGGUGCAGACUGUAAAGGUAGACAGGAGAGUUAGGAUGAAGCAUUUUGUUGAAGUGGUAAAGGCGGUAUGGAAUUUACAUAGUUGGUGGUUUACCUCGGGUGCGGGAUCGCGUUCUCGAAUGACGAUCCCGGUCGAGCGAUGAGUAGCGGGAACUGGUGGGAGCGCAGACCUAGACCUUGUCGCAGCCUUUGAACCGCUCUCUUCACGGUUGCGCUGGGCAUCAAGGAUGACGCGGUCUGACUCGCCCAAAGUUUCGUAUAGGGGAUAAAAGAUGGCAGCAAAAACAGCAUCAUCUGGGAACCCCCAAUGGAUGUCGGACAAAGAUCGCCACCAAGAGAGAUAGGCGGGGUCAACACCCAGUGAAGGCUCAAUCUCAAGCAAGUCAAGAGUGAGAGGGAAAAUGUUCUGCAGCAGGGUGACCCGGUCGGACUCGCCAAUCUUCCUCCAGGAGGUGUACUUGUUCACCGAAUGGAAGAGUGGAUAGGGGAUCCCUUGAAAGAAGCCGAGUUGUCUGGCGAAGUGGUUGGGGGCAUAUAGCUCGAAGCCUUGUUCAUCCUCGGCGAGCUGAAGGUCGCAGCAUGAGGAUGCUCUCAUGAAGACGGUCUUGGCAUCUGAGUCCGAAUCAAAGCGCGAGAAGAAGCCCGUCGAUAAGACUUCAGGGUGGCGCCGGAGAACCAUCAUGUCUAUGGUGGGAGGCGGUUCGAGUUGGUUGUACAGGAUGGAGAGGCUGGCAAAGAAGGACAGGGGAGUCCGGUUCGCAGCGUUCCUGCACAUUGCGAAGCCAAGCAGUUGGUCCUCGGGCAGGAAUUCCAUCGGGGCUCGCCGGAAGAGCGGGAAGUACAGCUGCGUCCAUAAAUCCAAGAUUCACAGAAGGCCAGCAGAGAGAUGGAAGGGUCUUAGGGACAACAUGUGCAGGGUCCGGUAAAGCGCGCCCAGCACGGGCUGCCCUAGCCCUACUUCGAUUCCAUUGUAGAGUGCCUCGGCCAGCUUUGUCCAUUUCCCUGUAAGUUUGUAAGCACUGCCACAGAAUAUGAAUUUAUCAAGCCAGUACUCAAGGAAAACGAUACCUCCUUCGUGUUGUUCUGCAUGGCCGAUGUAGAACUUCCUCCAUACUCCAUACGAGCCUUUCAGGGCGCGGCGGGCCCCCAGGUUGCAGGAGUGGGUAAACUCGGUCGAUGCAAAGUCGCCUAGCGCAUAUGGCUUUGCAUGAAUCGGCAGCCCGGUGAUGGCGAGGAUGUCCAGUAGAGAAAUGCCCAUUUGCCCGAAAGGAAAAUCGAAAGUGUUGGUGGCAAUGUUCCAUAAGCAGGCCGUGGCAGCAAUGGGUGCUCGAUCAGCAUGAGGAGGCAGUGAGAAGCUCAAGGCAAUGGCUUCGUUGAUGCCGGUUGCUUCCCAGAUCGCUUGGUCGGUCUGGAGACGAGCCGUGUACCAUGCCCGGUCUUCCGCGGUGACGCUGGGCCAUUCCCCGACCCGGAUAUUUGUAUGAGAGCGGGCUUGGUGAAACCAGAAGGUGAAGUUUCCCGGUUCGCGACGUUGAGCAAGGAUUGGUCGGCGCACGGAGGCGGUAUAGUGGUUCAGAUCAGCGGCGGACGGAGGUUGUGAAGGAGUCGGACCGAGCAGGGCUGCCCCUGUUUCAAGGAAAUAAAUGGGUGUUCCUUGAGGAGGGUUGUUGGCAAAACGGCGAGCGAAGCCGGUCGACCAAGAGCUCGCCGCCGUGAGGUUAAGGUUUGAAUCGUUAGCAGUCGGUUUGGGAGCCAUUGUCUCUGGGCGGAGUGAGUCCGAUGGUGAAGUUCUGUUGGUUGCAGAAGAAAGGGAAAAGUUUGGUUGGAAAGCGAUGGUGAGAUGUGGGGACCCGCAUCGAGGUUUAUAAAGGAGACGGACCGUAAUGUCUUUUCAAUCAGUAGCCGUAAUGAGGAGACGCGAUGACGACCGAAAUGUCAGCACGUUUCAAAUUUCAAACAGUCGCAAUGAUGAAGGGAGGCGAUGAUGCCGAAACGUCAGCACCUUUUUGAAUUGCGAAUUCCCGUAAAUAGCUCAUUUAGGCCUUUUCGCUUAUCUGUUGCGAAAUGGAUUAAGCUCAAGGCCUAGGGGGCAAUGUUUGAGCCCAGUGGGUAUUUUUGAUCCAAGACUCGGGGUACGUUUUGGAUAACAUUUGGGCCAAUACCUAUGACCCUUUUUUAAUGCGAAGCCCACGAAGGAUGGCGAAGUCUGGCUCCACGCGAGCUGGAGUUUUGCAAGGAUUCCGAUACCCCGCGGGAUUCGGUGUCCUCGCGGGAUUCUUUGUUCCAGUUCGUAUAGGAUUCCACAGUGCAUGGCGAGGUAGAGUUGGAAAUGGAUUGUAGUACUCCGCGGGAUAGGGUCGCUUAGUGUUCGGGUUCGCGUACGACGCUACAGUGAGAUGAUGCGGGGCGGUGAGCGAGACCUAGGCGAGGUCUGUUCUGGACACGUGUUGCACGGAUCGCGCGGCUCGCGAGCUGGUCGUAUCCUUGUGGAAUUCUAAUUGCUGAGUCCGAAUGAGUUGUGACUAGGUCUUUGCGGAUUGCUUGCGGGUCACUAUAUAAGGGAGCUUGACACAACAACAAAAGGGACACAAUCAAUCAUACAAAAACAAGUACAAAUCCUCGAGCAUCCUCGAAACCCUAAGUUCUAAGUGCACUUCGCCUUAGUUCUCAGACUCCUUCCCGAUUCGCCUCCUUUCCCUAGUUGUUGCUCUGCUCACCCUAGCAGUGAGUAUCGAUUCACAAGUGACAAGAAGUUUUACUCGUAAUCCCUCGUCCACGAGGUGGCACCGGUAACCCCCUCUUCGCUUGUUUAGAAGUCUAGCCGCAGCGCAUUCCUUUCCUCGCCCGCGAGGUGGCACGCCCCGCAAAUCUCCUUUUCUUUACUUUUGAGUCACCGGAGUUCCGACUCUGCCCCUGCUGAGACGCGUGGCCAAAACAAAUGUAGGUAUGUCGAUCAGGUCCAUAUAUAUAUAGAAUAUAUCCCAUACAUACUUUCGAGUAUGGUUUUUCAUUCUGAAUUGAAAAGUAAAAAUUGAAUUGAAAACUCUUCGAUGAAAUUUCCAUCCCAGCAAAGCUAGUUUGUUUGUGAAUGCCAACACAACAACAAAAAUAUGUUUGUUUGCGACUUUAAACCACCGGCCUUUUUUUAACAACGAAUUAGUCCAUAAGUUUAAGUAUGUGGUCUGAAAUGAAGUACUACUUAAUCUAAUACACAUACGUACGUAGUAGAUAAGCAGCAUUACUCUUAUUUUAUACACAAUCUCCAUCAGAGGUUUAGAAAUUGCAAGGAUAACACUGUUUUAAUGUCCAACUAGGCAACCCCCAUUUCAUUUCCAUAGUGAUGAUCAUAUAGCUGAACUGGCAUCUUUGUAGCACUAAUGGAAAUGCCACGAGAGUGCCAUAUACUAUAGUGACUCAACUUUAAUAUUAUGCAACAAAUGCAUCCACUAUUCCACUUAGAGUCUUCUGGAGUUCUGGUGGUGAUCGAAAUUGGCUUAAUGCACCAACGUUCGCAUAGUUUAAUUUGUGUUUUCUAAAGAGUGUUGUCAAAGGAUAAGAUAAUGCCAUUUUAGUAAGCUUG
rnacentral:lncRNA from 1 species